UACGAAGGGGGCUAGCGUUGCUCGGAAUCACUGGGCGUAAAGCGCACGUAGGCGGAUUGCUAAGUCAGGGGUGAAAUCCUGGAGCUCAACUCCAGAACUGCCUUUGAUACUGGCGACCUUGAGUCCGGGAGAGGUGAGUGGAACUGCGAGUGUAGAGGUGAAAUUCGUAGAUAUUCGCAAGAACACCAGUGGCGAAGGCAGCCCCCUGGGCCAAUACUGACGCUCAGGCACGAAAGCGUGGGGAGCAAACAGG
rnacentral:rRNA from 1 species